rnacentral:hammerhead_ribozyme from 1 species
AUUCAACUGACGAGUCCUAAAUAGGAUGAAGCGCGCUUCCUGUAU